rnacentral:rRNA from 1 species
CGGCAGGCCUAACCAUGCAAGUCGAGCGGAAACGACACUAUCUGUCCUUCGGAUGCGUUAAUGGGCGUCGAGCGGCGGACGGGUGAGUAAUGCCUAGGAAAUUGCCUUGAUGUGGGGGAUAACCAUUGGAAACGAUGGCUAAUACCGCAUAAUGCCUACGGGCCAAAGAGGGGGACCUUCGGGCCUCUCGCGUCAAGAUAUGCCUAGGUGGGAUUAGCUAGUUGGUGAGGUAAUGGCUCACCAAGGCGACGAUCCCUAGCUGGUCUGAGAGGAUGAUCAGCCACACUGGAACUGAGACACGGUCCAGACUCCUACGGGAGGCAGCAGUGGGGAAUAUUGCACAAUGGGCGAAAGCCUGAUGCAGCCAUGCCGCGUGUAUGAAGAAGGCCUUCGGGUUGUAAAGUACUUUCAGUUGUGAGGAAGGGUGUGUAG